GGGCUGUGGACAGACACCAGCACAACCCUGGAGCCUGCUGCAGCUGCUUCCUGUUGUCACCAGGCUCCCCGGCUGAGGGGCUGAGCCCCCUUGCACCUCCCUUGCCCCUGCCUGGCUCUCUCCACGUGGCCACCUGCCUCCGUGGGCCAGCCACGUCCUGUGGAUACAGAGGAAGAGCAAGUUCAAGGAGUGUGAGCUCAGAGGAAGGAAGCGGCCCUGGGCCCAGGUACACUUCCAGCCUCAUUCUCUGCUGGAACGGGAUCCUGCGCCCUGCACUUUCCCCCCAUAGGAUAUGGGUGUGGCCACCCUCUCCAUCCUGAGGUUCAUCGAGGAAGGAAACCAUCAAUGAGAAGGGGGAGCCUGUUAGAGUUCACAUGUGUUUCAUGAGGGCCACCACUCACUUCUGUACACAGCCACCCUUCCAGGACACUAAAUCCAGGACUACAUUAUGGGGAUUCAGAUGCGGGCAGGAGUCCCAGGAGGUUUGAGUUUCCCAAGAAGAUGCACAGUGAACACUUGUUGAUUGACUGACUGAUGGUAAGAAUAAAGAAGUGUGUCUCAUUGGAUUCAGUCCACGGAGUAUGUUGCCACAACCAUAAAGAGGUUAUUCACACUCUGGGCACCUAGACUUCUAGGACACACCCUCAUUUUCCUCUGGCCAGCCCUCUGCCUCCUCCAGGCUAAUGACCUCCCACAGACUCAGGAGGACUCCAGGCUUUAUUUAGGACCUCACUUCCGAUACUCUGCACUCAAAUCCAUCCAAUGCUAUUUCCUGCUGUGUUUUGCUGAUACUCUCCCUCCUUCAUCCUGAACUGACCUUAAAGUCAGCACACUGGGGCUACAGUGAGGCAGGUCAGAACCUUCAGGACACAGUGAAGGAAGGACUUGAAUUCAUCUCUAUUUCACCCAUGACAAAACUGAGGCACCAAAGGACUUAAGUAAAUUUGGAAUAAAUGAAAAAAAAAAUUGUGGAUAUUUCCAAUGGAAAACUUUGCAGUGUUUAGGACAUAUCCUUCUGUGCAAUCUGAUUAGAGCUUUUCAUUGCCUUUGAGCUUGUUUGCAACUCUAAGUUGCAGAGAAUUGAUGGCACAGCAAUGCUUCCUGUCUAUGGAUACGCAAAUAAAUGCUGUUUGUUCCAAGGACAACACUCUCCUUUUGUGGAAAAGUCAAUUUGCUUCCAUUUACAAGUUGAUUUCAACAUUCCUGUCCUAGAACUGCAUCUGUUCUUUGGAUUCUCCAUUGAAUGGUUUGUAAUAUAUCCCUGGUUCCCUUCUUAAUGAUAAGGUAAACAGAUCUUGAGUAUGUGUAUGAGGGUCAUGAUUUCAUCUUUUAAUUUUAUUUAUUGUUUUAAAAAAUUAUUUUUGCCACACCCAAAUUCCCAGGCCGCUGCAGUGACAAUGCUGAGUCCUUGACCUGCUGAACUGGGGAACUGCUAUUUUUUAAAAUUAUUUUUUACCAGGGGUAAUAGGUUAUUUGCCUGCAGUCUCACAAGGAGAGGUAGGCCUAGAAUUUGAACCCAGCAGCUAGGAUGCAGCAUGCAUGUUUAUAACCACCACCCGAUGUUCCAGGUGCUUGCAAAGCCUGAUUGCAUGAGAGUGGCUGCAGCUGUAAGUUAAUCAGUCCUAGCCUAAAUAAGACCCUUGAUCCUAACUCAAACCCUAGCCCCGAUUAAAAGCUAAUAAACUAAAUAGUACUCUAAGGAAAGGAUAUAUGGUACCAUAGCAUUCGGGAGAGACAGCUUUAGGUGGUACAAGCAAGACACUCCAGCUGAGGGGCACUGGGUGGUGUUCUUUAUCUUUCCCAGGACCUCUGUGGCCUCACCGCACUUAGCCUCAACUAGAUACCUAGACUCUUGUGUUUCUUGCUGAGGGCUUCUGCGUGGUCCUUGGUGCUGUGCAGGCCUUUGCUAAAGGCCUGGAUGUGGGAAGGGCUUUGGGAGCUGGUUUUCACUCCCCACAUCACCUGGAGUCAGAGGGAGUUGGAAGGUAUCCAUGGCCUGUGUGCCCUAGAUCCAGUGGCCUGGCCUCCUGCUUUAUUUGUGCUUCUGCACUCAGGGCUGAAAGCCACCAACCUUGUCACAAUGUAGGAUUUGGGGUGUUUGACAACAUUAGAAUGCAUCUGUGUUUUAUUAAUGUGGAUUCUCCAUUUCGUCAUUCACUGAGCUACCUUUAUUUCUGACUGGUUACAAACAAUCCCAUCUUUUUUCUCAUUGGGGAAUUUUCAGGUACAUAUUUUUAUAAAUUGGUCCACUUUGUUACUGCUUUCAGUCAUUGCUUUUAAUUUUUAAAUAAAAAAAUUUAAUUUUGCC
rnacentral:lncRNA from 1 species